GAACUGAAGAGUUUGAUCAUGGCUCAGAUUGAACGCUGGCGGCAGGCCUAACACAUGCAAGUCGAGCGGUAGAGAGAAGCUUGCUUCUCUUGAGAGCGGCGGACGGGUGAGUAAUGCCUAGGAAUCUGCCUGGUAGUGGGGGAUAACGCUCGGAAACGGACGCUAAUACCGCAUACGUCCUACGGGAGAAAGCAGGGGACCUUCGGGCCUUGCGCUAUCAGAUGAGCCUAGGUCGGAUUAGCUAGUU
rnacentral:ncRNA from 1 species